rnacentral:rRNA from 1 species
CAGUCGCCACGGGAAUACAGAGGCCUCAAGCGUUGUUCGGAUUCAUUGGGCGUAAAGGGUGCGUAGGUGGCUUGGUAAGUUGAAGGUGAAAUCUCGGGGCUUAACCCCGAAACUGCCUUCAAUACUGCUAGGCUCGAGGACUGUAGAGGAGAAUGGAAUUCACGGUGUAGCAGUGAAAUGCGUAGAUAUCGUGAGGAAGACCAGUGGCGAAGGCGAUUCUCUGGGCAGUUCCUGACACUGAGGCACGAAGGCCAGGGGAGCAAACGGGAUUAGAUACCCGCGUAGUCCCUGUCUCUUAUAC